rnacentral:rRNA from 1 species
AACGAACGCUGGCGGCGUGGAUAAGACAUGCAAGUCGAACGGGAACUUCAGCUGUAGCAAUACAGUUGAAGUUUUAGUGGCGAACGGGUGCGUAACACGUGGGCAAUCUAGCCGAGAAGUGGGGGAUAGCUCGCCGAAAGGCGAAUUAAUACCGCAUAUGAUUCAGCGUAAGACAUCUUAGCGACAUCAAAGCCGGGGCAACCUGGCGCUUUUUGAGGAG